CAAAGUGCUCAUAGUGCAGGUAGCUUGGCAUUGGACCUACUGUAAUGUGGGCACUUACAGU
rnacentral:pre_miRNA from 1 species